GCUUGUGCUGCAUUCCCAGGCUGCGUGUUGCUGACGGCGCUCCUGAUGCUGUUGCGUUCUUCUCCAGGAGGAUUAGACACUUCCUGAGUUAUAUGUUGUCGGCCAUGAGGAGGGUUGUUUGCAUCUGAAUACUCUCAUGUUCAGAAUGAGCAAUAAGAUGGUGAGUAUUAUUUCCUUCAUUCAGAUAACGGCACAAAAGGACAAAUCAGUCGUCCUUGGAUCUGCCCCUCCACACAAAAAAAUAUCAACUAUUGUGAGUGUUUCAACUGCGGGAACAUGAUGAAUUGUUUUCAUUGUAGCAAUGAGCUUAGUAAUUGUAAUGAGUACGUAUUAAUUCCCCAAUGAACGUCAAAUAUUUAGAUUUACCCCUUAAUUAAAAUGUGUACUUGAAUGCUUAUCUCCUCUGCUAUAUUACCUCUACUGUGAACAAUUAGGAACUGUUUUAAAGACACUGGCUUCCAUAAGCUAAUUGUUUUCUCUUUUUUUCAGGGAGACUCUAUCAGAACUGGCCACUAAUUAACAGAAAUCACAGUAACUAUUGCAUAGAGGGAUCUUGUUAAAUCGAAAAGCGGAGUUAUCAGGGUGGCAAAGUGCUAAUUAAGCUUUGAAGGGGGGGGGGGCUGCAUCAACAGAGCACAGGGAUGAUCUUUCUCUGUCUGUUUACAUCGCUGCAGUGCAUUCUGGGAGGUCACCCCACAACCUGGGGCAGGCAUACUGUUAUGCUGCUCCGAAAAAAAAAUGUGUAAGACAGAUAGAAACAGCACUUCUAAAUCCCUUCGGCUCUACGUUUACGGAUGCAGAUGCCUUUAUCUGUACUAAUGCCGUCAACAUUUAAAACAGGAAACUUUAUUUCCAAGAACUGAAGCCUUGCCACAAUAAAAUAUGUGGAUGGUGAGUUAUUUGUUGCUGCACCAGAAGCACAGAUUUUCUGUUACAUGAUGGAGGUUUCUUAUUGGUAAGAAAAGUCUCUUUAAUGUCCCAUUUGUUUCAGAAAUAUGAUAACUGAGUUUCUGAUUUUUCUGCUCCUCUAGUCGUUCAAAAGAGAUCUCAAAAAUGACUCAAACGGUACUCAGAUUUGACAAGAUGCCAAAGAUAAAAG